AUGGGGCUACUCGGCAUCAUCCGAAAGAUCAAGGUCAAAGAGAAGGAGAUGUGCAUUCUCAUGGUGGGUCUGGACAACUCGGGGAAGACGACGAUCGUGCUUAAGGUCAAUGGGAAGGACAUGAGCGUCAUAAACCCCACCCUCGGCUUCAACAUCAAGACCGUCAAUUAUCACAAAUACUCCUUGAACAUAUGGGACAAGACUAUCCGGUCUUAUUGGAGGAAUUACUUUGAGCAGACUGGUGGACUAGUUUGGGUGCUUGAUAGUUUGGAUAUUCGUAGGCUUGAUGAUUGCCUACUAAUCAUGAUCUCAAAUUCUCAAGGAAAAAUGCCAAUGGGUGUUAGUAAGAGGGUGGACGGAAGAUGGCACAGGCAAAUUACCUCCGGCCAAAAUUUGUUAGAUUCGUCUGGAUACAUCCAACAACAAAUUCGGGAAACAUGA
rnacentral:rRNA from 1 species